GGCCUGAAGAAUAGUGCCAAAUUGCAAGUUUGGUUUUGAAAAUGUAAAUUUUCGUAGGUCU
rnacentral:tRNA from 1 species